rnacentral:lncRNA from 1 species
CUUUAACCCACUGUGCAGGCUGGUGAUCAAACCUGUGUCCUGGAGCUGCAUAGAUCCCACAGAUCCCAUUGCACCACAGUGAGAACUCCUUCUUCUUCCUUAAAUUACUCUUUCUUUCCUAAGAGUUUUAUUGUCCCUCGGAGAAGAGAAAACUGCACGGCCGUGCCCUUUGAGACUGCUUUGAGACCUUGCUCUCAACAAAGAGUAAAGUAUUUAGAGCUUCUAAUUCCACUUUUCCUUAAGGGAGGAUGAACUCUGUAGCAAUUACCUUAUGACUUCUGAGGAUCACCUUUGGAAGGCUUGGUGUUACGAACAUUGGGAUAAGAAUUUUACAAAACAUCAAAAAGAUUAUAAUAUUAAGAGCAGAAGCCUUGAUUUAUUUAUCAAAGAAACCCCAGUAAUUAACACAGUCUGACUUUAAAGGACCUCUUUCAAAUCAUCAGCACCUUCAGAAUUUUUCUUCUGAGCCAUAGAGAACAAAAAUUGUGAGUUAGCACUUUCUCUAACCUUGUUAAAGAAGAGCACAGACAGCAGUGAUCCAUACACUCAGGUAAGAUUCCAAUCUCAGUGUGUAGGGAACACACUAAACACCAGUUGGUUUCCUGGACUGGCUAAUGUUCUCCACUUUCUCUUCUGUCCUGGUUUUCCCGG